UACGUAGGGUGCAAGCGUUGUCCGGAAUUAUUGGGCGUAAAGAGCUCGUAGGCGGUUUGGCGCGUCGGCUGUGAAAACCUGAGGCUCAACCUCGGGCCUGCAGUCGAUACGGGCAAACUAGAGUUCGGUAGGGGAGACUGGAAUUCCUGGUGUAGCGGUGGAAUGCGCAGAUAUCAGGAGGAACACCGGUGGCGAAGGCGGGUCUCUGGGCCGAAACUGACGCUGAGGAGCGAAAGCGUGGGGAGCGAACAGG
rnacentral:rRNA from 1 species